rnacentral:rRNA from 1 species
AGGGAAUAUUGCGCAAUGGGCGAAAGCCUGACGCAGCGACACCGUGUGUAGGAUGAAGAUCUUCGGAUCGUAAACUAUUGUCAGUUGAAGACGAAGGCAGUAGAGUUAAGAGCUCGAAUGCUGACGGUAUUCAAUAAGGAAGUCUCGGCUAACUCCGUGCCAGCAGCCGCGGUAAUACGGAGGAGGCAAGCAUUGUCCGGAAUUAUUGGGCGUAAAGAACACGUAGGUGGUUUUUCAAGUCAUGUGUGAAAACUUUGGGCUUAACUCAAAGAUUGCAUAGGAUACUGAUUAACUAGAGUACAGUAGAGGAAAGUGGAAUUCCUGGUGUCGCGGUGAAAUGCGCAGAUAUCAGGAAGAACACCGGUGGCGAAAGCGGCUUUCUGGACUGUUACUGACGCUGAGGUGUGAAAGCUAGGGUAGCGAAC